GGGCCUGCUUAUGUUGAUGGAAACUGCACAUACUUUGCUGGAAAAGAUUUCGUAGAUUUUGGAAGUGUUGAGUGGAAGAGUAUGAUGAAGAAACAUAGGAUUACUGAUCUCAGUCGAGUCCUUAUAUUCUUUGAUGACCAUCAAAAUGAACUAAAAAGAGUAAAGCAGGCACUGAAUGCUGGCUUUAAACAUCUUGUUUUUGAGGAUAACUAUGAUACUGGAACAGGAGAUCAUUAUUCCUUAAGGCAGAUAUGUGAUCAGUCCUAUAUAAGAGGUGGUGGUCACAGCUGCUUUAGGGAUAGCGAUGAAAGCAGGAUUAGAUCAAAAAGAAAGAAAUUCUGGGAGAAGGCAGUUGACAUAGAUGAACUGUGUGGUCCAAAUGAAGUGUGGUGGGGUGUUAGAGGCUGGAUGCGGGAUAACUUUAAUCACAGUAACAAGCCAAUUUCCUUUGAGGAACAUUUUCAGAGCAGCCGGUUUAUUGAAUCAAUCCUCGAUAUUUAUUGGGAGCUUCCCCCGGUAGCUGGUCCUUCCCUCACUCAUCAAACACGGUAUGAUCCUGCUCGAACUACACCACCUAUUGUUGAAGAUGGUCGCUAUGGCCUGUUCCAGCGGCUUGGUCUAGGUAGACUAGAGACAUCUGUAUUUAAUGGCUAUACCCAGAUGGUAUACCUUCAAAUCUCUGAACAAGAAAAUUAAAGCUGUCCAGAGGGGAUGACAGAGCUAUUAGGUUUUAGUAGAUUGAAACACAAAGGUUGUUAAUAUUCAUGCCUUUUUCACAGGCUUUCAGAAUGUUACCUUUCUUCUAACGUGUUUGGGCAAUAUCCUGUUAAUAUUUAUUCCUUUAUUUGUCGUCUUCAAAUCUCAAAUCUCCUUAAUUGACUUUGUAAUC
rnacentral:misc_RNA from 1 species